rnacentral:lncRNA from 1 species
CAUGCAAACACUCCUUGUCGAGGGCUUUACACAAAUCGCCUGUUCUUCGUAUAGGAACUACGCAAGCACAUUUGUCUGAGCAGCAAGCUGCAAACUACGUAAGAUAGUUGCCACUUGGUCUGGACGGAUAUAGAUGAUUCGUCGAUCCGUUUGCCGCGUUUCUAUAUAUACUGACAUGCGGACGAAUUAUCUUUGCCUAGAUCAUCUAUCUCUAUCAUAAAUCGAACCAAUAUUUCUAUACAAGUAUCUCAUUUUGUAUUGGAACCAAUUUUUAAGACUUUUCAAAAAAAAACUUUUGAUAUUUUUAUUCUCUUUCAAUAUCUCUGACAAAGAGAACAAAGAAUUAAGUGCGUUUUUCAAGGGGAAUUUUCCGCGCGCUCAAGAACAAAUACGCAAAUAUAGGACGACGAGAAAAUGUUGUGUUUGAAUGUUGAUUAAAUUCCGUUUAAGCUCGUGUCAUUAAAAAAUCACUUGGACAAAUAUUUAUCGUCUCUGCAUGACGAAGGCCUUUCCUCCCAAACGACGGGUAGUCCAAGUAGUCCAUGCAGUCACAAACCACGACAGGUUAUUUUGGAAUAUUGUUGAGUUUUUGCAGAUGGAAAUUGCGAGUAUGAAUUUUAUACAUCUUUAGACCUCUAGCCAGGAGCAGUUGUGAAAAUGCAACUAUUUCUAUCUAGGCCAUCCGAGCCCUCCUGAUUGAGAGUUCAGAUAUGAAUCGAACUGUUAAAAAUUUAUAUACACUUCAUUUCCAUGUAUAUACUUAAAUCCUUGAUUCUGUCGAGUGAGGACUGAGGUGCUCAAAAAUUCCUGAUAAUCAUAUUGAUAUUUUUUGAGGAUUUGUAAAUCAAAUCGUAAUACAACAAACUCAACUUACCGACUAUUCCUUCUUUGCCUUGGGCUUGGGGAUUUUCGCCAUUUUCAAGAUUCUGCGAUAACCGCGCUCUUGUCUUAUUCAUUCUUAUUUCUAAAAUUUCAUCCAAUUCCUCGGAGCUUAAAUCCUGCUCGUCCGAAUCCACAUUCUCUUGGCUGCCCCACUUUUCCGCUUGCAUUGUAUGUUAGUUUAACUUGUCCGAAUAAAUCAAACGUAUUCUUUUAUAGCUUUAUAUAUAAGUCUUUGCUCUUUGUUGUUCAACUCAAUACUGAUAUAUUCCUGCUCAGCAGAUGCUUAUAUACCACAAGACCAUUACGUCAUGUCGACAUUUUUGGCCAAACAAAAGGGCUAGUCAAGG